CUAGAGGUAUUUAAAAAUCUAUGGAUUUUAAAAUUAGACUGGUUUUCAUUGAUUUCAUUCAAAAAAUACACACGAACAAAUCCGACCUCAAACCACGAGAUUUCGGAAAUCUUUAAUGUAAAGUAUAAUUUUUGAGUAUUUUUUUUUUCACCGAAUGUUAGUUAGCGGUCUACUGCAUCUUAGAUCCAAAGCAAAAUCGCCCAAAUUUCCAAAAUCCUGAAAAUCAAAAACCUUUUCACAUCUCUUCCCUUUAACUUUCUCUCACCACUCCUUCUCUCUUCACAUGUAUAAAAUGAGGGAAGAUGAAUUGAACAAAAUUGAAUUCAGUCUCCCGGCCAAUUAAUCCCCCUGCGGUCGGAGCAGCAUUUUUCAGAUCGCGGCGGCGCAGCCUCUCUCAGAUCUAAGCUGCGGAAUCGGAAACCGGUAUUGAAUUCUUCGACAGCGGGUUGAUAUCUAAGUCCAAAUGCAGCAAAUGUAUCGCUGGAACCCAGCGAUCGCGAGGAGUUGUCUUAGCGCUCAAUUAAUUCCAACGAGUGUUGGGAUGGUAGAUUUCAAGUCCGUAAAAAUCACGUCAAAUUCUUGUUAAAAUUCCUACAAAAUCCGUUCAAAAUCUAUUUAUAAUUCUAAAAUACAUGAAGAAUAUCUGUGUGAAAUCUGUAGAUUUUUAAAAUCUCUGAAUUUUUAAAAUCUAUUAAAAUCCUGAACGAAUACACCCCCUUAGAAUAUGUCGAGAUGAUAUCCAUGAGAUGCUAUUAAUUACGGAUCGGGCUCAUUUUUGUCCUUAUUUUUAUGUCGCAAAAGUAUUUAUUAUUAUUAUUAUUAUUAUUAUUAUUAUUAUUAUUAUUAUUAUUAUUAUUAUUAUUAUUAUAUAUUUGUUUUUAUCCAUCUAGUUUAUACACCAUAAGUAUUUUAAUUUGAUAAUUGUAAUGUAUUUUGAAUUAUUUCCAUACGUCCUUAUUUUUAUGUCGAAAAAAUCUUUAUUUCUUAAGAUACAAUUUGAGCUGGAUUAUGCCUUUGAUUUAUUGACAAUUGUAAAGCUUGUGCUUUUGUACCUUGUUGGCGUUGUGUUCAUUUCCGAUGUGUACAUUUCUUUUGUUCUUAAUGAUGAACUAUAAGAUGAGAAACGAGAUUAUAUUAAAAUUGUUUCAGAUUUGCAGUUAGCUCUUAGUUUAACGUAAGAGAAAUAUGAUAAAGGGUGGAUGUCCAAAAGUCGAUUAUCAAAAGAGUACGAAGAUGGAGUCGAAUCUUUCUUCAAUUUUGCAAUUACAAAUGGAAAAGAUCCUAACUCUAUGCCUUGGCCGUGUGUAAAGUGUGGGAGAGAUAUAGAUCUCGCACAACUGAUAAAGAUGAAGGGAGUACCAGUGAAGAUAUAUGAGGCUGAUCUUUUCUUCCUCUUCUGUGAAACAUUGAGUUGUUUGCCGCUAUCACAAUUUGAUCUUCAGUGGGUCAGAGCUUUGUCUCCUUCCCAUGUCUUAAAAUAUUUUUCUUAUUCAUGGUUUGUUUGACUAGAGGUCAAAGCAACUUUUUUUUUUUGAGGGAGAGGUCAAAGUAACUUUAUAUGAUGAUGAUUGCGUAAUACUUAUGAAUAGAUUGAGAUACUACUCUUUA